UUCAACUCACACUGAAAGUUGUUAAGUAUU
rnacentral:piRNA from 1 species